rnacentral:tRNA from 1 species
GGCGUUGUGCCGGAUAAUCGGGUUACUUUGAUGUGGUAAAAAAUGUGAGUGAAAAUCUUUCUGGCGCUA